AACGAACGCUGGCGGCAUGCCUAACACAUGCAAGUCGAACGAGACCUUCGGGUCUAGUGGCGCACGGGUGCGUAACGCGUGGGAAUCUGCCCUUGGGUUCGGAAUAACAGUUAGAAAUGACUGCUAAUACCGGAUGAUGUCUUCGGACCAAAGAUUUAUCGCCCAAGGAUGAGCCCGCGUCGGAUUAGCUAGUUGGUGAGGUAAAGGCUCACCAAGGCGACGAUCCGUAGCUGGUCUGAGAGGAUGAUCAGCCACACUGGGACUGAGACACGGCCCAGACUCCUACGGGAGGCAGCAGUGGGGAAUAUUGGACAAUGGGCGAAAGCCUGAUCCAGCAAUGCCGCGUGAGUGAUGAAGGCCUUAGGGUUGUAAAGCUCUUUUACCCGGGAUGAUAAUGACAGUACCGGGAGAAUAAGCCCCGGCUAACUCCGUGCCAGCAGCCGCCGCAG
rnacentral:rRNA from 1 species